CUACGGGAGGCACCAGUCGAGAAUCUUCGGCAAUGGACGCAAGUCCGACCGAGCGACGCCGCGUGCGGGAUGAAGGCCUUCGGGUUGUAAACCGCUGUCAGUGGGGAGGAAAUCUUAGGGAGUAAUCUCUCUAGGUUGACCUAUCUUCAGAGGAAGUGCGGGCUAAGUUCGUGCCAGCAGCCGCGGUAAGACGAACCGCACGAGCGUUAUUCGGAAUCACUGGGCUUAAAGGGUGCGUAGGCGGCCAUGCAAGUUGGGUGUGAAAUCCCUCGGCUCAACCGAGGAACUGCGCUCAAAACUGCAUGGCUCGAGGGAGAUAGAGGUGAGCGGAACUCAGGGUGGAGCGGUGAAAUGCGUUGAUAUCCUGAGGAACACCAGUUGCGAAAGCGGCUCACUGGAUCUCUUCUGACGCUGAGGCACGAAAGCCAGGGGAGCGAACGGGAUUAGAUACCCCUGUAGUC
rnacentral:rRNA from 1 species